CCUACGGGUGGCUGCAGUGAGGAAUAUUGGUCAAUGGGCUUAAGCCUGAACCAGCCAAGUAGCGUGCGGGAAGAAUGCCCUAUGGGUUGUAAACCGCUUUUGCAAGGGGACAACGCCCGCUCCUUGUGGACGUCUGCAGUGUACGUGCGCAAAAGGGCUGGAUAAUCCCGGUCCAGCAGCUCCGGUAAUAAGGAAGGCACGAGCGUUAGCCGGUUUUAUGGGGCGUAAAGGGGGCGUAGGCGGGCGUGCAAGUCAGCGGUAAAAUCGCGCUGGUCAAACGCGCUCCGCCGUUGACACUGGACGCAUUGAGUGCACGACAGGCAGGCGGAAUUCGUGGUGUAGCGGUGAAAUGCAUAGAUAUCACGCGGAACCCCGAUUGCGAAGGCAGCAUGCCGGGGUGCAACUGACGCUGAAGCACGAAAGUGUGGGUAUCAAACAGGAUUAGAUACGCCAGUAGUC
rnacentral:rRNA from 1 species